UUGAAGUUGUAACGACUCGUCCCGGAUUGUACGAAAUGUCGAGGGCCAUUUUGUAAUUUCACUUUGACUGGGGUAUUUAUUUUAAAUGUUUGCUUUUUGGUCAUGUUUGGUGUGCCAUGUAGGGCCCACCCCUGUUUUUAGUCCCCGGUUCCCUCUCUCUUUUUCCCUAUUUUCUCUCAUUUCUCUCCCCGUAAGCCCUCACUCUCAAACUCUCUCAUGGCUAACCCUUUCUCAUCUCUCUCUGCUAUUCUCUCCCUUUCUCCGAGCAACAACCACACAUACUAGACCACCACCAUAAGACCUUCCUAGUCACGAUCUCAAACUCAGGCCAAGAUCAUGGAGUCUCGAUGGCCCGACAGUGGCUAUGCCAUUGUUCAUUACCUUCUCCGACGAGUUUCUCGACUUCUCGACUUGGGGUUCAACAUUGACUUCUUCAUGUGAAGCUUCUUUGUGCCCAAUUUCUUGAUUCAUUGGCUCAACAACAUGCUCAACUUGUGGUAGAGUUUGAAGUAGAGGAAUGGUGAUUAUUAGUUCAAGAGUGGUGGGAUUGACCGGUCAGUCUCAACUUCUCCUUCUUCUUAAAAAAUAAAGUUCUUGUUCACUCUUUCACCAAAUUAUCACACUUAAUAAACUUAGGUUUUCCACUAUCUACAAUUAUGGUGGUGUGCUUGGGACUAUAAAACCGAAAAUCUAUAGAUGUUUUUACAUAGCUAAUGAAAAAACAACUGAUUAUCAUGUAACCCAAUUUAGACAACUCUAGAUUGUAAAUUCUUGCUUCGGUUUUACAACCUCAUACGUGUAAGUGAUUCAAACUUAGUUUUCUUUUAUUUCACAACUCAAAUGGUGUUUUAGAAACUGACUUGAUUGGAAUUCUUUAAGGAUGUAGUUGUUAGCCUUAAUCUCAUCACCCCAUAGAAAUCUUGGAAGAAUAUCAGUGUUACAAAUCAUACUUCUCACAAUACCUUUCAAAGUCCUAUUUCUUUGUUCAAGUACUCCAUUCUAUCCUGGGGUCCCAAGGUUUGUGUACUCAGCAAAUAUCCCACAAUCUUGUAAUGUGCAAAAGGUGAAAAAUUCCUUCCUUGCUCAUCAUACUUGCUAUAAUAUUUCUCCACCCUUUUGGAUCAAACCACUUUAAUUUUUACGUUAAGUUGGUUUUAUACUUCAGUUUUAAAGACUUUGAAAACCUCAAAAGCACUAGAUUUAGUUGGAAUUAGGUAGAGAUAACAAAACCUUGAGUAGUGACUCAUCAAUGAAAGUGAUGAAAUACAUAUGACCAUUUAGGGUUUCAAUUGCAAAAUGACCACACAUGUCUGUAUGGAUGAUUUUUAAAAGAUGAGUACUUCUAGUUGACCCUAAUUUCCUUGAGUUAGUCAUAUAUUUCCCUUAAUGCACUCAAUGCAAUCACCAUAAUCUGAAAAGUCUAAUGGAGGAAGGAUUUUCUCCGUGACUAGGCGUUGCAUUCUUUCUCUAGAUAUAUGACCUAGACGUUUGUGUAAUAACCUUGAUGAACUAUCUCUUAUGAGAGAACGUUUUUUACCUAUGAUCUCAACAUUAAGAGCCAAUUUUUCAUUUUCAUGAGUUAAUUGAAACAUUUCAUCAAUAACAAACCAUUCCCAACAAGAAUAGAAUUUAAAAACAAAUGGAAACCACAUUCAUGCAUACUAACUUUAAACUUCGACUUAACUAGUUUGGAAACAGAAAUCAAAUUCCUCCUCAUGGAAGGUAUAUAAACAACUUUUAAGUCUAACAAGAACUAGACUCUAUAUAAAGCCUAACAGUACAUGUUACAUGGACUGGAACACUUUUGCCAUUCCCUAGGAUUUGAACUUGAUAUUUAUUUGGUGUUUUAUGGCUUAUAAAAUUUUGCAACGAAUUAGCAACAUGGAUAGAAGAUUCAAUGUCAAUAAUCCAAGUACUGGAAGGAAAUAUAAAGACAAAAUUUGACUCAAAACAAACUAAUUCGUUGCAAAAGUAACAACCAAGGUUAUUGGUUUGAUUGACAAGAGUAGGUGUCUUAAGGAGAAGGGUUCGGCUUUGCACCUAUUGGCAAUAUGAGAGCUUCCCUUGAAGGGGCGGCGUUUUUGAGUACUAGCAGUGGCGAGAUGCAUAGGGUGAGUCUCCUUCUCUUUCUUGAGUCUUUCUUCUUCUUGAACACAAACAAGAAUCAAGAACAGAAAAGAAAAAGAAUUAAUGAGUUUCUUGAGUAAAAGAAGAAGACGUGGAAAUUGAUUAAUCUUAAAAAUCUGACAAAAGUUAAAGAACUUCAGUUGAAAAUUUGAAACCAAUACGGUUUCAAUCAAACAUCAUUAGUGGUUAGGGACCUAAAUUUUUUCUUUCUUUAUAUUUGAUUUCAAUAAAAAUAUCAGUUCAUGAUAUUUACAUCAUUUGUUAAAAUAUUAAAUUUGUAAAUAAAGAGAGAAAAUAUAUAAAAUUGAACAAUGUUUUACGUUUAAUCUGUCCCAUGAUAAGAUAAGAUAGUCACUACUCAAGUUUUUCUUUUGGUAUACGAUAUGCCUAUAUGAUGAGGUAGGGUUCAAAUGGAAAAGGCCAACAAUAUAAUUCAGCAUACACACACACACUAAUAUUAAUUGUUGCACUGGAUGGGUUGCAUCUGUCUUCUUCUCUUCCUAUAAUAUAUCAUCAUCAGCACAUUAAAGAAUAGUUUCCUUACCACCACACAAUUAAAAGACACCAAAGAUUUGGAAAAUAUGACGUGACCUAAGAACUGAGUAUGCAAAUGCAAAUACCUAAGUCUAAGUGACCAAGUUGUACACCUUCUUUGUUUUGUGGUCGGUGUAUAUAUGUAACAACAUAUAUAUAUGUCGAUCCUUAAUAGUAAGUGUGUAUGCCUAUGGAUCAUUUACACACAGGCAAUGCACUUACAGAAUCACCUUGAUCUACUCGAAGCAGCUACAUAUCCUAACCCUAACCGUUUGAAAAAUCAUCUGUGAGGUGCGGAAUUAAGCAACUAAAGAAAAACUUGACGAUAUUGAAUUAACUCUAGCACCUGGACGCCAGUGUUCGAUUUCCCAAAAAACUUCAUAAACUAAGAAUAUUUCAAGCAAUAAAAGAAAGAACUAAUGAAAGGAAAAUAAUUGGUGAGAAUGGUUACGCAUCUAAUAUAUUUCAUAAUUAUUCUUUAGCAUUCAACAUUAUAAUUAGAACUGUUCGUUCUUUUAUUAUCAUUUAAAGAUCAUAUCUG